rnacentral:rRNA from 1 species
UACGUAGGGUGCGAGCGUUGUCCGGAAUUACUGGGCGUAAAGAGCUCGUAGGCGGUUUGUCGCGUUGUUCGUGAAAACCGGGGGCUUAACCCUCGGCGUGCGGGCGAUACGGGCAGACUUGAGUACUGCAGGGGAGACUGGAAUUCCUGGUGUAGCGGUGGAAUGCGCAGAUAUCAGGAGGAACACCAAUGGCGAAGGCAGAUCUCUGGGCCGUAACUGACGCUGAGGAGCGAAAGCAUGGGGAGCGAACAGG